UACAGAGGGUGCGAGCGUUAAUCGGAAUUACUGGGCGUAAAGCGUGCGUAGACGGUUAUUUAAGUCGGAUGUGAAAGCCCCGGGCUCAACCUGGGAAUUGCAUUCGAGACUGAAUAGCUAGGGUGCGGUAGAGGCAAUCGGAAUUCUUGGUGUAGCGGUGAAAUGCGUAGAUAUCAAGAGGAACACCUGAGGUGAAGACGGGUUGCUGGGCUGACACUGACGCUGAGGCGCGAAAGCCAGGGGAGCAAACGGG
rnacentral:rRNA from 1 species